CCAAUGACUGGGGUGAAGUCGUAACAAGGUAGCCGUAUCGGAAGGUGCGGCUGGAUCACCUCCUUU
rnacentral:ncRNA from 1 species